GUGAGCCAUCUUUCCACUGAGUGUGUGAUUCUAAAGGCCUUUCUUGGUAUUUAACUACAGGGUAAGACAAAAGCUAAACAUGUUAAGGCCCUAAUGAUGAGCCUGGUAGGCUAGGUUAUCGAACUGUGAGAGAGGAUUCAGAUCGUGCUUGCUCCCCAAAAACAUGCUCAGUGGAGGCAGAUCUGGAGACUCGGAUAGAACCCUAGGCUGCCACACUCAAAACCUCCAGCGUCUUUAGCAGGGGAGCCGCGAAGGGUCUCAGAGCCUGCUCCAAUCACAGCCCUGCUAAGAGGUGAAGCUUCUCAGAGCGAGUGGUCACAGCCACCAUGUCACCCAUCCCCGUUACUAUUGUCCCAUUGCGCUAACACGUCACAGGCUGAGUGGGAACCUAACUUAGGCUCUUCAGUGGCCUUGUUCAAAGUGUUUUUGGGUCAAUCACAGUGCUCUCUCAACAAGACAGAUUUGGGGCUGAAAGACCAAGCCAGUCAGGAAAUGGACACGAAGAUCCCAGGUCAAGGAGGGGCAAGAGAGGUCUUGAAAAGCCAAGGACAAGUAAAAUUACGAGAGAGGAAAGACUACAAGGAAACAGGCAGUGAGUGGACGGCGAAAGGAGAAGAAAGGAGCAGAUGUGCUGAGCAGAGUGGGUAAGUCUGGAGAAAUACAGACUGAGGUUCUGAUGUCUCCCAGUUGUGGUUCUUGGAGGCGUCCGCAUGUGUGUUUGCUUCGUGUCCCCGUGUUCCCUGUGACUCCUGUGUAUUCUCGCGUUGCCCACCUGCAGGUGCUAGUCUGUGUGUCCUCGCAGUCAAAAGACCCGGCCCCGGACGCUGACAGUUUGAGAACCCCCUUCGACAGGCAGUGGGACCUUUACUCUCACCCCGCUGUUCCGAAUCUGCCCACCUCACGGGAACCCUGUCAGACACUAGCAUGUCUGGGACUGUCCAGGGCUUGAGGCUUUAAAGUUCGCCAGCAGGGCCUGGACCUCUUCACACUCAAACCCGGGAGGCCUGGAGAUCAUCCUUUAGCUCCAGGAGGGCUCGUCCGGUGCUCUCAAGUCAUGAAUGGUUAUUUACCAGGGGGCCUGGGGAGCCGGUCUCCUACGUGUCCCCUCACACCCCUGGAACUGCCACAGUGACAGUGCCACUCGCUCUCAGUCCCAUUUUUUUUUUAAUGUUUAUUUAUGUAUUUUGAGAGAGAGGCAGAGGGAGUGAGCUGAGGAGGGAUACAGAACCCGAGGCAGCUCCAGGAUCCGAGCUGUCAGCACAGAGCCCAUGUGGGGCUUGAAGUCAGCACGUGAUCAUGAUCUGAGCCACCAACUGGGCCACCCAGCCCCAGUCCCAUUCUUUGGAAACAAAAGAGCAAAAGAACAAAAGGUGAGAAUUGAUUGUAGGGAGUGAGUGUAUCAGGAGAACAUUUCUGAUCUCACCUUAGUGGAGGAAAGAAGGCUUUUUUGUGAGGGACUUCAGCACCGGGAAUUUUCCUAACGCCCCGGAUUCCCGUGGAGCUCGCUGCCCAUUGGGCAGCUUUUCUCCUGUGGGGACUGAAGGGCCGGCAGGAUGUGGAUGGACGUGCCCACACGAGAGGAAAGAUGCUCCCUGUGGAGACGGUAGCACGACUCACAGCGGACAGCGUGGGGUGGUCAAGCUUGCUGUCUAUACAGAGAGCCAAGGACAGGAAGGUAAACCGAGGCUACAUCCUGCAGUGCUCCUUGCGUGGGCAGAGUGGGCAUCGGUUUUAGGAACAAGAGAGCGGUUCAUCAGAGCCUUCGGGGAGGACCGGGCUUUGUGAGGACCGGAGGGAGGAGAUCGGACACAAGACCAGGGUAGAUGAGUGACCUACCUGGGCCAAGGACAGAGGCAGUCGGAGCUACCCUUGGAAGUUGCUUGUUUAUGGCGUUGUGGAAGAGGGACGGUGACUUUUAGGAAAGUGGGAAAUGCCAGAGGGGGAGGGGAUGGAGAAGAGGAGGAGGAAUGGGGAGAGAGAGGCACUUCUUGGAUCACUUUAAAAAUCUUCAAAGACUCAGUUGAUGAGUUACCAUCAGACUUCAACACACCCUGUCUCAGGGGGAGACUCAAAAAAAUACACGUAGAUCAUGGCUAAAUUAGACUAAGCGUUUCAUGUCUGCACUGGGGGAAGUGUGUUGGUCUAUAACAUAUAUGUCACUAAAUCCUUGAAUGUGCUUGCAAUUUGUAUAGAAAUGUAAAAAAAAUAAAACCCAACAAAACCCAACUUAGCCUCCUUUUGUCCCCCCCCCCCCAACCCCCGCCAAGACAGUUCGGCUAUCCUAGGGUCUCUUGACUUAGAUUUUUAAUUCAUUGUGAUAAUUUUCAAGUCAGUUAAAAAUUUCCCACAUACUAUCGAUUUAUGACUACAAAUCAGAAAAAUCUAAACCCUCUGUCUUAGCACAUCACAUCUUUAAUAAGACAUUCUUUCCAGAAUGACAUUUCAAGGAUAUCUGGAGGUGACCGAUGGGAUGAUAAUUUUGAGUGAAUUUAGAGUUUUAAUUACUGUUUUAUUUGUAAUUGCAAGUGGGUGCUGUGGAGAAAAAAAAAAGAGCUAUCAACAAAGGAAAUAAUUGUUCCAAAGAAUUACAUCUGCACUGCAUUCUCUGUCAAAAAUUUCUCAUUAAAAAUGUGUUUCUUUAAAAGUAACUCAAAGCAGCUGAUGAAAUAUAAGAGCAUGGAAAGUUUCAAAUCCCAGAGCAAAUGUGGAUUCAUCAGGGAUCAUUUGCCAGAGACCUGACUCAAUGGCAAAAGACCUUCUCACCAUUUCUCACAUCCCUUCCUGGGUUUCAUACAGAGUGGAUAAAGAACGACUAAGCUACGAACAAGUCUCCCAAAGAGGAGACAAUCCCGUAAACCUUCCCAGGAUCUCUGCACCACCUGCCAAGGCUGACGCGUGAGAGAUGGCUGUUACCAAGAUUAUUCCCAAACAUCCUCUAGCUUGCUGGAGACCACAAAGAUCAGUCCUGCCUGAGAGGCCACCGGUGUGCAUCUCACAAAAGAAUAAGAUGAUGGAAAAAUAUGACCAUCUCCUUGAAGUAGGGGCUGCCAAUGGAAGAAAAGCAGUAGAUGGGCAGAAGACAAGGUCAAAACCCAGGUCGGGCUGACGCUGUCUGGAAGACCAAAAGCCAGCUGCCUUAUCAACGAAUUUAAUGAGCACCUAUUAUGUGUGGGGACCUUGCCAAAUGCUGCAGGAAUCCCUUCCUGAGGGUAUUUACAGUCUAUUGAGGAGACAAGGCACGUGUAGACCAAAUGAUUUAAUUAUCAUCUCAGUCUGUCUUCUCAUACUGAGCUGUAAGAGCGAGAAGAGCAGGGGCUGUGUGUGUUUUGGUAUUGCUGUAUCUCCAGAAGCGAACACAGUGCCUGCUCGGGGGUGCUGUUCCUGCUGAACUAAUUCCCGCCAGAUAUCGUGAGGCCACGUUAGACCAAGGACAUCGGACCCUUCUCUGUGGCCGGGCUGCUCACGGACCCUUGGAUCUCCCAUUGCUAAACCUGUGUAAUGGGCAUAACUUCAUUUUACCCAGUCCACUGUGCAAGAUAUGCACCUUUAAGUAUUUCUUUAACUCAAGUUGCCAUACUUCAUUGAUUCCAAUACAUGCCUUUUCGUGCGUUAGCGUCUCAGAAAUCAGGAUCUUCUCACUGAUGGCAUCUUUGAAUAGCUAUUUCCCGGGUGGCAGGGCGGACGGAAUGGCCCGUGCAUGUCUGAACUUGUUCACAGGCAUUCCUAUGACCGUCCCUUCUGUUGAAGUCUGUGCAUUGUUGAUAGGACCCAAGUUGAGUUUAGUUGCUGUUUGAAAUGUUUUCAAAAAGAUCAUCCCAAGUUUCAGGUUUGAGAUGAAAAGUUGUCGUCAACAGAAAGGUUUGGAAACAGAGCAGUGGGGUGCAAAUAUGAUAUUAGUGAGGCAGGUAUUUGUGUUGGGGGGGUCGCUGAAAAGCAACAACCUCAUACACGGUAAUAGAUGUAGAUUACUACAAGCGUUUGAAACUGUGAUCAUUUUGUUACUGAGUUGUGUACAAAGGCAAUGCCUGUUUGCACACGUCAAGCAAGCAAGCACCCACAUCAGACCUUUUAGAAUGGAUGGCAGCAUCUCGGAAGAAAACCUGGAGCCAAUAGUGGGGACGCUUGUAAGAAAUGUUUCGUCAUCAAUACAGAGGACAGCGCCGUGCAGAAAAAUAUGAACAUUGAUUCUGAAUGCGUAAACUCUGAAUGCGAAGAUAACUUCGGGAAUUUCUUAACGAAUUUAUUUUCUUUUUUGUAUACGCGUGAGUGUGAUGUAUAAUAAAAGCCUCUGACCCAAUAAGUCUAGAAAAGCUUUUUCAGCAAGCAUAAAAUACAGAUUUUAAGUGAUGAGAAAGCAUCGUUUCAUAGAUGAAUUGGCGUCUUUCUUUCUUAGUGGUACAUAAAUUAAUGAUGCAUUUUACAAUCGAUGGCUUCUGAGUAUCAAUGAAAUAACUACUUUCUCAUUUGAGUUCCCAUUCCUUUGGGUAUUAGAAAUUAAAUUUCUGUCAGUUCAGCAGCACCCCUCCCCAUGAUUACACUGCAUUCCUGGGGGCUUACCCACAGCUACCAUUUAGACUGAGGACACUGUGCUUGUUGGGCAUGAGUUUCUCUCUGUGCUGGCAGCCACCGAGAUGGCCAUGUCUGAUGCCACACAGACUGCUGCUGGGUCCUUUUCCUGUUCUCAUCUCAGGCCUCUUUCAGAGUUGGGGGGAUCUUUCUGCUAGUUCAAGUGGGCUUGGGGUCCACCUCCCUGGCAGCGAAGACACUGAGCUGGUGAGGCCCUGGGCCCCUCGGUGGGCUCUCUGGAGCAGGAAGGGCAGUUUGCAUCCUCUUGGGCCCUGGGUGGAAUUCACUCUUCCCACUGCUCUUAGGCAUGUAGGAUCCAGCUUCCCUUUGCCAUCUCUUUGGAACGGGGAGACCUAGACCCCGCCAUGUUUCCACUCUGGCAUCUCGUGGCCUCCCUGGCUCCACCUGGGGAAGGGGUACGCGUGUCCUCUGGCCUGGGUGGGGUUUCUGGUUGUUCCUCUUCCAUCUCUGCAUGAUGAGGGGAGGGGGCUGUGCUGCAGGACCCCCUGUUGAGGUCCCUCCUGGCCUCCUCUCCAGCCUGCCCUGUCCUCCUGGUCUGGGCAAUGCCUUCUAACCUGGAGGGCCAGAGAGCCUGUCUCUUACUCACCUCCCCAAGUUUUGCAGCUCCUCAGAGGCUUUGGGUUCUAAAACUCAAGCCAAGGACAGACUCGUGGUUCCCCUACCGUCUGGACGAGUGCUUCAGAGCACAAAGCUGACUAAAUGGAAGAAAGAUCUGGAACAAAGAAACACAAGAAAAUCACAUUGGCUCACAUUUCAAAAUAUCACCCCAAUGCAGGUUCUCACCGUGGUUCCCCUUUCCCCUUUAUUUUAAUGUGUUUGUGUGGGUCCAUUUCUCACAUUGUCGGUUUUCCACCCUAUUUUGUAGUAGCCUGGGGCCCCGUUCUAACUACGAUGCCUCAGAUUGACUGUUUCUCAUUACCUCGGAAACUGGGGUGAAGGGACAACCAUGUUCUUCCUUCACCUCCUCCUCCUUCAAUUGUUAUCAUAUAAAGUUUAUAAUCUUUGUUCCAUCAUAGAGAAUCCAUAACAUGAGACGAAGCAGAAGGAAGGAAAGGAAAUCAUGCAUCACCUCACUGUGCUAAGACAUCCACUGGUUGGUGACAUUUUGUUCUUUCUCAAGUUGGUUCUUCGUGCUUACAUAGCUUUUGUAUAUUUUUAUAUAGCUGACAUUGCAUCAGCCAUAAAAACAAAUAUCCUGCUUCGUUCGUUCAACACUGUGGCUGAGUAUGUUUCCUUAUUAUCCUCAAGUCUUCAGAACCCUUAGUUCAAUGUGGCCGUUUAUGCAACCAUCUCCCUUGCGUUGAGCACUUAGCGUAUUCCCUUCAUCAUAAAUAAACGAUAGCAUUGUGAUGACAUCCUUGUGCAUGAAAGUUGCCCCGCCGUUUCUGACUAUUGUCUUGAGAUAGACUCCCAGGAUCGGGAUCGCUUGUAAGACUGCCGUCUUAAAAACAAGCCAUUUCCCUACCCUCUCUGUGGUGUCUUCUCUGCCCAUUUAUCAGUUGUUACAGUAACGCUUAUCUGCGGGUAGCGCGUACUGUUUGGCUGGGAGUUUUCUACAAGCUGGUGUCCUUACAACAAUUUGGCAUUUAUCUAUAGGAGGUCACGUCCGGUACUUCCAUGUACAAAGUCUGACUCGGUUACUUCGAAAGUUUCAUCAUUUUUUAGCCAAAGAUGUUGACAGGCAGCCUGCGGCAUUAGACCUGGAGCGUCACAUCGAACAUGAAAAUGACUCUGAACGUGAUGUGGCCGAUUUCGUUUUAAACAAACAUCCAACGCUGAUCCAUAAAAAGCACUGUCCCCUCCAAAGAGCCACUGUGGAUGGCCGAGCACUUAUUCCAAAGAUGCAUCAUCACUCAAGAUGGUUUCAGGCCUCCCCUCUUGAAAAUGGCUGUCAGAGUCUUGUGAAUAUCCUCCAUGAAGAAAAACAAAAAAAGAACAAGCUUAAUCCUUCGAGGAAGAAUUGGAUCUUGGGAGCCUUUCAGUGGUAUUCAGGAUAAAAUCUGAGUGGACCGUGGGGUUGGUGAGCAGGUGGACAAGACCAAUAAAACUGUCGUAAGGCCGCGGGGUGACUUUCUGGUGCGACUAGUCGGUAGCCGAGUGUAUGGACACAGUUCUCCGAGAGAAAAGAGUUACGCUGUAAGCCACAGCAGCAUCUUUGGGACGGAAGCAUCACCCAUGUUGACAUCAGGUUGGGGAAGUAUAUGCUCUGAAGCAUUUAACCUCGGCUCAUUACUUACUAGUGAUAUCAUUUAAAUUAAAAUAGUCACUUUUUUUUUUUUUUUAAGUAUGAGAUCGGGGCGCCUGGGUGGCUCAGUCAGUUAAGCGUCUGAGUCAGCUCAGGUCAUGAUCUCGCAGUUCGUGAGUUCGAGGUCCACAUGGGGCUCUGUGCUGACAGCUCAGAGCCUGGAGCCUGCUUUGGAUUCUGUGUCUCCCUCUCUCUCUCUCUGCCCCUCCCCUGCUUGCACUCUGGCUCUCUCUCUCAAAAAUAAAUAAACAUUAAAAAAAAAAAGUCUGAGAUCAGGAAGAAGAAUAAAAUGUAUGUAUUGCAAAUUCCUGCGCUUAAUUUUAACACUCCAGGGAGGACCUUGCCUCUUUUAAAACAAUGCCAUCUUAUCCGUUUAAAAUAAUACAGACGCAUCCCAGGGAAUUGGGGAAACCCAGGAACUUUGUCUCUCAGAGAUGUUCCCUCAUAAUAUCUGAUUGGGUUCCCUGGAAACAGAGUCCGAGAUAAAAGUUGCAUGCGGAGUGUAUCUUGGGGAGACUCCCCUGGACGAAAGGGAGGGAGAAGCUCGCAGAGGGAGAGUCUGGCUCCAAAUGUGGCUCCCACUGGCCGGGGCUGAGCGGGCCUGGCCUUCCAGAAUGCUUCCAAAGGAAGGUAAGUGGGUGGGCCUUUGUGGCCCUGCCUCAGCAAGUCACUGCCCGCGCCCCCCCCCCCCCCCAGGGGCUAAUUUUGGAUGCGUCUACUUCCUGGGGCCCAGAACAAUUCCCAGUGAGGGGUGCAGCUGUGAGCUAUCAGCAGUGACGUCCCAGCCGCCGGGGAGGGAUCAGGGCUCCAGAGAGGGACUUGGGUGAAGACACAUGAUCUACCACAUUGCAUGCACAUUGGGAUCCCCCCCACCCCCCACAUCACAUACAACUUCAAGCCCACUUUUUUUUGCUGAACGUUCUUUGGUGAAUUGUCCCCAUCUUGUGAACCUUUCUUUGAAAACAUUUUAAGUAGAUGCCUGUUUGAUUGUGUGGAAAUGUCAUCUAUGUAACCAUUCUCUCAUUGUGGGACAGCUCAUUUUUAACACAUUUUCCCCGUGAGAGACAAUGUUGCCACGGCCACAUUUGUGUCUCGGCGAUGGUCACGGUAACAAUGAAAAAAGAGUCCACACUUAAUUGACUGCUUAUUGCUGACCGGAUCAGGCUAAUAUUUUUCUUGCCUUCCGUGUGGAGUUUUCAUGAAAAAUAAACAAGAAGAUGCAUAUAAAUAAAGAUGUUACAUUUAAUAACUCAGUCGUCUUCACACCUCCGUGACGCAGAGAGAGUUAUCCCCAUUUUGCAGGCGAGGAACCCAAGGUCCAGAGAGGUUGAGUCCCCCUUGCAAAGUUGCACAGCUGGUGAAAUACAGACACUCUAAAUCCAGAGGUCAAACAAUGCACUGUACUGCUUAGCCUGCUUUCCUGAAGUUCAUGUCCUUAGAAGGAAAAUUCUGAGGUCAAAGGGCUUGAUUUAUUUUAGAACUCAUGAUAAGAAUUGCCAGACGGUUUUCCAGAAGCAGUGAGUACUUGUGCUAGCAGAGGAAGUGGGUUUAUUUCAGCGCAGUCAACCCCGAAAACCCUCAAUCCUUAGAACCAUGAUACACGCACGACUAGUCCUCUAUUUCCUUGUCUUCCAUCAGGCAUUGUGAACAUCGGUGGUUCUUUAAAAAAAUUUUUUUUUAAUUUUUAAAAAAUGUUUAUUUAUUUUUGACAGAGAGAGCGAGGGACAGAGCGUGAGCUGGGGAGGGGCACAGAGAGGGAGACACAGAAUCCACAGCAGGGUCCAGGCUCCGAGCUGCCAGCACAGAGCCCGACGGGUCUCAAACCCAUGAGCCACGAGAUCCUGACCUGAGCCAAAGUCACAGGCUUAACCGACUGAGCCACCCAGGCGCCCCUGAACGUCGGUGGUCCUUAAGCAGAAGGUUUUCUUUUUGUUUUAGCACGCACGACUUUUUCAGGAUCAUCUUGUAAGGGUUGACUCCGUUGUGCUGCCUACAUUUCCAAGAAGAAUUUUUCGUUUGCGGAAUGAAUGCAUGAAUGAGGGCGGGGAGAGAACGUGAACCCGCAACCCCUCGCUGGGAGUGAAGCAGGUGAAUGGAAACCCCGGAGAAGACCGUCCUCCAGAAACAGCGGGAGUAGUUUUCGACAAUGGAAAGGUUUCCCAAAAAUUCUUUGCCAGGGUCUUUUUCUGAGUCUCCAUUGAACUGCUUAUUUAAUAAGCACUGUCCACCCUUUACGAGCUGGACUCUAUCAUGUGCUUGGAAACACCAACGUUUCAUGCUGGGAACAAAAACCUUUGGGGUCAUCUAGCCCCCACCUGAUUUCAAGCUGGAGGAGCACGAAGUCAGGGCAGCCCCCUGCUAGGGGAGGGGCAUUUCCCUGUUCUGGGGGUGGCAGUGCAGGAGCUGGGUUGCUGUUAUCUUUCAUUCGUGGUCAGAGGAACCCUUCUAAGAUGUCACCAGAGCUAUUUUGCAUUAUUUUAGCAGUGACUUAGGCUGAUGCUACCUUCAAAUACCUCGAUAUUUAGUUUGCCACCGAAUUCUGAAGGACUUCUUUGGAAAACCAAGAAGUUUUUCCCUCAAUAUUUUGCCCUUUGGCACUGGAUCAAACCUCUCCAAGUUCAUUUCCUGACCUCCUCCUCUUCCACCUAGGUUCCUGGGAGGCUUCGGUGAGCUAACGUAUGUAACAUACGUCCCCAGAGUAAGCGCUCAGUAGAUACUGGCUUCCACUUCCUCUGGGUCCGCACGUUCCCUGAACUUUCUUCCACCUGGGAUGGCGAAUGAUUGUGUGAGUUUCCUUUCUUUUUUCC